rnacentral:lncRNA from 1 species
GACCCGUGGAAAUGAGCAGCAUCUGGCACAGGCUCUCUCCCGAAUUUCUCUCCACCCCCACCCGCGGCAGGACCCCCCCCCUCCCCGCCGGAGACUCCCCGAAAUGCCAGGUCCCCCCGGCGGGGUCACAGCCGAGAUCGCGCAAACGCUGCCGGGCAGCUGGGGGAGUCCCCCGGGCCAGCACACGUCCUUUCCCGAAGGUGACUCUGGGUGCUGUGGCAAUACUGAGCACGUGGACAGAAAUGGGGGCGUUUCCUCCCGGCCCGUGGCCGACCUCUGUGCAGACCUCCACCUUCGGCUUCCCGGCCUCGCCCACAAUGAACCCUGCCGUCAUGAGAGUCGGCUCUUUGACAUCUGUUACAAAAUGCAAACCCCGGCGGCCCGAGUCCCCAGUCUGUGGCGACCUCUGAAGCCCUGCCUUCCGGAGCCGGGCUCCUCCGUGCCCCAGGUGAGCUGCUUCUGCUGAAAACUUCCCGGCUCCGCAGCGAUCUGCUCCUGGGCAGGGAGUUCUUUUCAGAGCUGGGGCAGCUGCCUGUGUGGGACAGGAAGCCCGCCUUUGGGUGGAGACCUGGGAGAGCCACCUGGGUCAGGACUGGAGCUGCUGGCUCAGUUUCUUACUUAAGCCCUAGCAAGGAACACAAAGACGGGACCCCCCUUACUAAGUAGAAUUGACCGUUAAUGUUCCUAAUGUGCUGUUUUUCAACCCAAAUCUUCUGACCAGGAAUGAUACGACUUUCAAAAAAAGAUGCCAACAGUCAUGUUGAGUUUGAGAUGCCUACGGGACAUCCAAUUCAAAAUGUCCAAUAGGCAAGUGGUGAUGUGGGACUGAAGCUCCAGGGAGAAAAUAAUGCUGGAUGUGUAGAUCUGGGAGUCAUCUGUGUAGAGAUCAUGAAGAACCCUGUGGCCCCAGUCACAAGUCGUUUUGCCUAAAUGGGGGGAUUUGUUAUGUGAUACCCACUAUUCCCAGCCCAUUUUGUAGGAAGUGAACUGAUGCUGGCUUAUCUUUGUCUUAUUCCAAGUUGGGGCAUGAGGUUUUCCCUGCCUUAGAAGGUUGUUGAGACGUGAAACCUGGGAAGAACUGCCAAUGGUAUCCUGAUGAAUGAAUGCCAUGAUUAUCCUAUUUUGUGGAGGAUUCUGUAAUGCAUCUAUGUACACGUUAAAAGUCCAGACUCCAACCAAAAAUCAACAUUUGGAGGAAGUGCAGUCUUGAGCUUGAAUCUUGAGAAAAGCAAACCUGAAUUUCUGCUCAUUAGCUAAUCUAACAUCCAGUUCUACUAUUCGAGUUAAACUGCUCUCUCCCAGAUGUAUUGAGAAUUAUACAGGAGCCCGGUGUGAAGAGGUCUACCUUCCUAGCACCAAGACCCAAAGUGAGAGUGAGCCGUUUGCAGCUUUGUUGACCGUUGCCCUGCUCCUGGGAGUACUGACCCUUGGAGCUGUCUACUUCCUUUGCAGGAAAGGCCACCUCCAAAGGGCUAGCUCAGCCCAGUAUGACGUUGGCCUGGUAGAGACCAGCAGCAUCAACAUUUACAACAAACAUGGAGAAAACUGAAGAAGCACCAGCCAAGUGAACCAAGAUAUUACAUCCAAGCUGCAGGGGAAAUAAAGGAAGCCACAGAAGGGGUUUCAUCAAGGCAGAUCCUGAGCCAAUCUGCAAGUGCUUCAAAAACAAGAGCUGACUGCAUCUAGUCUUCUGCUUUUCUUCAAGUGUUUGUGACCACGUGUAUCCAUCUGUAAAAAUGACACUUCACUGCAACAUUUUAGCCAAGGACAUCUGGUGGACACCCAAACCCACAUAAAUUCAGUUUUAUCCUUCUGGAAGUUUUCUUCAGGUUUCCCGCCACCUUGCCCUCAGCAUCGGUCAUAACUUGCUUUCUGUACUGUAUCCCUUUUCAUUAUGCUGGAUGGCCUAAAUUCAGAUUUCUGAUCUUACUGCAAGUUCAAGCUGAGACUCAAGAGGAUUGGGAGGAAGGGAAGACUCCCAUCUAUUAAGAGUCACUUAGAGGGCUUGGUCUUUGGGGGAGGGGAGUAAUGGUAGAAAAUUCCCAUUUGCCUAAUAACUCAUUUCUCCAAUUCAUUGUUUCUAAAUAUUUUCUUUAGUGCAGCUCUUGGAAACAGGACAUACCUGUAGCCCCAUUUGACAGAGGGCUCAGUGUUGACUUGUCCAAGACCAUAUGCAGUUAAUGACAAAGCAAGGACUUAAAGCUCUUUUCUGAUUCCGAGUUCAGGGCUCUGACUGCUCCCUGAUAGGGCUUUGGAUGAUGGUGUUAUGGAGGUCCCGUCAACGAGGCUAUAGUGUAAUCAGGUCAUGAAAAACAAUUCAACCCAGUAGCCUUUGGGAAGAAAACCCUCAAGUGAAAAAGUAGCUGAAUGGAUGAGUCUUAAGUAACCAACAGCCCAACAGAACAGCCGGCACCGUGGGAGCCCGAGGCUUCACUCCUGCAAAAAGUAUUCAGUGAUGUCCUCGCUUUGCCUUCUUCACAUGCUCUAUCCAUGGGUACGAUGCCAUUUUGGCUUCUGAUUUCAAAAGCGACAUAGGCUUGGGCUAAACCUAAGCCCAAGGUUCCUGGAGACCUUCCAAACCCACCUCAUUUGACAGAUGGGGCCAAUAAAAACAGUUCAUUCGUUAUGGCCAGGUUCAAAAUGGGGCAGAAGGUGUAACUAUGACUAGUAUGAGUCACACAGAGCUGAUUCUCAAGCCCUCUGAUCUGGAGUCCAGGGCUCUUGUCACCUCCUCUGUCUUCUUUCUCUAUUUGUCUGCAAUUUCUUAACAUGUACUCUCUUGUGAUAAGUGGUGUCUUAUUUUUUAGCUGAGACCAUAGUAGUUAUUCCUUUAUUGGUGGUCUUUCUUAUCUAAACUAAUCCUAGCUUGAAACCAAAUGUUACAUAACCAUUGAACUCCAGGGACAAUAUCUCUCAGAAGCAGAUGGACAAUGAGAACAUUCUCCAGAAAGCUCAUUUUCUUUUCAACUCAGCUUCUUUAACAAUCCUUUUGGCCUUGAGACAAGAUUGUAAACAUAAGAUGUUUGAUCUCAGAUGGAAAAGAAUCCUCUGAAUAAUCCUACUGGAACAGCGGAAUGAAGAUCCCUUGGGAAAUGCCCCCAAACUCUUCAUAUGUGCUGAUUUGUAUAAAUAUAAUGACCAAUUCAAUUCUUGGCCUUAUU